rnacentral:rRNA from 1 species
GAUGAACGCUAGCGGCAGGCUUAAUACAUGCAAGUCGUGGGGCAGCAGGUUUGUAGCAAUACAGAUGCUGGCGACCGGCAAACGGGUGCGGAACACGUACAGAACCUUCCUUUGAGCGGGGAAUAGCCCAGAGAAAUUUGGAUUAAUACCCCAUAGUAUAAUGAAGUGGCAUCACUUUAUUAUUAAAGAUUUAUCACUCGAAGAUGGCUGUGCGGCUGAUUAGGUAGUUGGCGGGGUAAAGGCCCACCAAGCCUGCGAUCAGUAACUGGUGUGAGAGCACGACCAGUCACACGGGCACUGAGACACGGGCCCGACUCCUACGGGAGGCAGCAGUAAGG